UCGGCUUAGAGUUUGAUCAUGGCUCAGAUUGAACGCUGGCGGCAGGCCUAACACAUGCAAGUCGGGCGGUAGUCUUUCGGGAUACGAGCGGCGGACGGGUGAGUAAAGUCUAGGAAUCUGCCCAGUAGUGGGGGACAACGCGGGGAAACUCGCGCUAAUACCGCAUACGCCCUACGGGGGAAAGGUGUUUAUACCGCUAUUGGAUGAGCCUAGAUCAGAUUAGCUAGUUGGUAGGGUAAAGGCCUACCAAGGCGACGAUCUGUAGCUGGUCUGAGAGGAUGAUCAGCCACACUGGGACUGAGACACGGCCCAGACUCCUACGGGAGGCAGCAGUGGGGAAUAUUGGACAAUGGGGGAAACCCUGAUCCAGCCAUGCCGCGUGUGUGAAGAAGGUCUUCGGAUUGUAAAGCACUUUAAGUUGGGAGGAAGGAGUGAUUAACAUCACUUUUGACGUUACCAACAGAAUAAGCACCGGCUAACUUCGUGCCAGCAGCCGCGGUAAUACGAAGGGUGCAAGCGUUAAUCGGAAUUACUGGGCGUAAAGCGCGCGUAGGUGGUUUAUCAAGUUGGAUGUGAAAUCCCCGGGCUCAACCUGGGAACUGCAUCCAAAACUGAUUGACUAGAGUAUAGUAGAGGUUAGUGGAAUUUCCUGUGUAGCGGUGAAAUGCGUAGAUAUAGGAAGGAACACCAGUGGCGAAGCGACUAACUGGACUAUACUGACACUGAGUGCGAAGCGUGGGGAGCAACAGGAUUAGAUACCCUGGUAGUCCACGCUGUAACGA
rnacentral:rRNA from 1 species